rnacentral:rRNA from 1 species
GAGUUGAUCAUGGCUCAGGAUGAACGCUAGCGACAGGCUUAACACAUGCAAGUCGAGGGGCAGCAUAAAAGUAGCAAUACUUGGUGGCGACCGGCGCACGGGUGAGUAACGCGUAUGCAACCUACCUAUCAGAGGGGAAUAACCCGGCGAAAGUCGGACUAAUACCGCAUAAAACAGGGGCACCGCAUGGUGAUAUUUGUUAAAGAAAUUCGCUGAUAGAUGGGCAUGCGUUCCAUUAGGUAGUUGGUGAGGUAACGGCUCACCAAGCCGACGAUGGAUAGGGGAACUGAGAGGUUGGUCCCCCACACUGGUACUGAGACACGGACCAGACUCCUACGGGAGGCAGCAGUGAGGAAUAUUGGUCAAUGGGCGGGAGCCUGAACCAGCCAAGUCGCGUGAAGGAAGAAGGAUCUAUGGUUCGUAAACUUCUUUUGCAGGGGAAUAAAGUGCAGGACGUGUCCUGUUUUGUAUGUACCCUGAGAAUAAGGAUCGGCUAACUCCGUGCCAGCCGCCGC